UCAUUCUGCUUGAAAUUUUAAAAAAAACUCAGUGGCUCUGUUGGGUUUCUCCCAACCCAUUCUUUGCGCCACUACCAACCAAGGCCCUCCCACGCCCUUGGUCACCUCAGUCUCCGAUCACGACGGAGAAAGGCGCACCGUGGCGGCACCGUCCGUAUUUGCAGGUAAGAGUGGAGCAAACGGCGUACGUGGAGAGGGCCGUCUCCGAGUCUUGCGGCGGCCGGACACUUGCUGGAGGCGAGGGCUUGCUGCAGCUAGGUUUUUCUUUUGAUUUUUUUUAGUUUUGCUGUGUUGGGCUACUAGUUGCUGGGUCUAGGGUUUAGUUUUGGGCUGGUUCGGUUAUUGUUUGGGUAACAUGGGACUGUUUAUUUUGUUUUGUAAGGAUCCGGGUAAAUUGGGCUUAUUACAAUAACCAUUGAAAAACAUUACAAAUUGCGACUUCCAAGUGGCAAAAUUUAGAUUUCCUUGUAGUUUAAUCGGAAGUCGGUGAACCGUAUUAAAUUGGAUUACAGUGGUUGUGGUUGUUUUA